UCAAGUCGGAUGUGAAAUCCCCGGGCUCAACCUGGGAACUGCAUUCGAAACUGGCAGGCUAGAGUCUUGUAGAGGGGGGUAGAAUUCCAGGUGUAGCGGUGAAAUGCGUAGAGAUCUGGAGGAAUACCGGUGGCGAAGGCGGCCCCCUGGACAAAGACUGACGCUCAGGUGCGAAAGCGUGGGGAGCAAACAGGAUUAGAUACCCUGGUAGUCCACGCCGUAAACGAUGUCGAUUUGGAGGUUGUGCCCUUGAGGCGUGGCUUCCGGAGCUAACGCGUUAAAUCGACCGCCUGGGGAGUACGGCCGCAAGGUUAAAACUCAAAUGAAUUGACGGGGGCCCGCACAAGCGGUGGAGCAUGUGGUUUAAUUCGAUGCAACGCGAAGAACCUUACCUGGUCUUGACAUCCACAGAACUUUCCAGAGAUGGAUUGGUGCCUUCGGGAACUGUGAGACAGGUGCUGCAUGGCUGUCGUCAGCUCGUGUUGUGAAAUGUUGGGUUAAGUCCCGCAACGAGCGCAACCC
rnacentral:rRNA from 1 species